rnacentral:lncRNA from 1 species
GCCACAAUUGCAUAGUUGAAUUCAAAAUUGAAUCUCAAAAAGGGUUUUAAAAGACUUUGUUUACACCCAUUUAAGCUUUGGAUUUUCAAACCAAUAGGGUUGAUGUAUAAAAAGGGUUUAAUGCAUAUAUAAGCUAUCCCAUAAUUUUUGGUUAACUAAUUGGAGUUGAAAAAGUAUUUUAUUCAAACAGAUAUAUAGCCCUAAAGUCAUUUAUAGGGCAAAUGUAUUUUUAUAUAUUUUAUUUUGAAGAGAAACUACUUCCAAAAGUUGUAUCAUGGUAGAACAUGAUUUUACAAAUUUUCUGGAAUUUAUUUGGACCAAUUUGGAGUUCAAACACAAAAGAUAUCAAAGAAAUGAGAAAAACAGAAAAAGAAAAGGCCUAAAAGAAGAAAAAAAGGGGUAAACCGGCCCGGCCCGGCCAAAAUGGGCCGAACCGGCCCAGUCCGACCGCGCCCGACCGGCCC